CCAAGUCUUAGGUGUAGGGCUGGCAGGCAGGACUCAGAUCCUCCUGCAGGAGCCUGGACUUCUGGUAUCGGGUUCUCCCCUUCCAGAUAGUUGCUGUCCUGUCCCAGGUGUCCAAAACUGGCAGCUAGGAAAGUGAGGACUCUCCCCACAUCCCCCCACCUUUUGCUUUUUCGAGACAGGGUCUCUAUGUAGCUUUGGCUGUUCUGUCCUGGGCUGGGCUCAAACUCACAGCGAUCCACCUGCCUCUGCCUCCCAAGUGCUGGGAUUAAAGGCACGCAUCACUACACCUAGCUUCAGUUUUGAAACUACAUCAAUACUUAAAAUUCACAGCAUGGGUCUGACUGAUCCCCUCCCUCUCCCCCAGGGGUGUAAUGCAAAAAUGCUGGAGCCAGGGUAGAGAGAGCUUAUCCAGGAAAGGAGGGAGGGGGACUAUGGCAACCAGCGAGAUCCUGAAUGAGUUCUGAAAGCCCAGUUAAGAUUCUUAGAUGGCUGUGGUGGCACACAUCUUUAAUCCCAGCCCUCAGGAAGCAGAGUUAGGCGAAUCUCUGAGUCUGAGACUUUUAGAAACACAGCCAACGAUGGGGAAGAGGAACAAACAAAAACUGCUAGGCCAUAAGCAGAAAUCUAACAGCCCACAAUGGGCUCCUUGUGCUAUAGAUGAAAGGUAGCCGAGCAACCAGAGAGAAUUAAUGGAGCAAACAGUCUCCGGCACAGCCUCUGCUUCAGUUCCUGCCCUGAUUUCACUUCAUGAUGGACUGUAACAUGGAAGGGUUGCAGCAGCUUGGUGAGCCACCUCACCCCCAUUUGAGGGUGUGUGUGUGUGUGUGUAACUGAAUUAAAUCAGGAAUGGCAGGUGGCAGAUGAGUUUACCUGCUGAGCAAGAGAGAAGCAGAGGGCUAACAGGAGCAGCCUUCCAUCACCUCCAUGGGAAGAACAUGGCCUGGUUGGGACACUGACUCCUGAACAGCCUUUGGGCCCAGGGAGUCAAGCCAGCUGACCUGCAAGCUCAUGAAUCAAGAAGUCCAAACAAUCUGAAGAAGGCCAGGCCAUCCUGACUGUGAAUCUGAGAGAUGAACUCACCCCCCCCCCCCCGGAAGGCGGGAAGCGGAUUUAACCCUUCAUUAUGCUCUUCUUGCCUUCCCCGAAGGUGCCCGCCUUCCCUAGAGCUCUGUCUGCACAGCUAAUCCCAAGUGGUAUUUUCCUUUUGGUAAACCUCACCUACCAGCAGGAGGCUGCUCUAUGCAGAAAGCAGCCAGGGAUCCCAGAGUUCCAGACCUCUCCAUUAUCUUCCCAUUGGACAGUCUGUUUCUGCCACCUGUUUAGGCUUCAAGGCCACUUUUGUUCUCCACCAUUUUUUUGGGGGGGGUGACCUAUGGUUUCCUCCCCAGCAUCUCCCCAGGCUGCCCACCUGAACACUUCCCAUGUUUUCCUUGUAAACAGUACAAAAUAGAACAAAAUAUUAAUCCUUCA